GAUGAAACAGUAGAUCCUGUCUAGGUAUUGAUCCUGUCUAGAUAUUGAUGAAACAGUAGAUCCUGUCUAGAUAUUGAUGAAACAGUAGAUCCUGUCUAGGUAUUGAUCCUGUCUAGAUAUUGAUGAAACAGUAGAUCCUGUCUAGGUAUUGAUACUGUCUAGAUAUUGAUGAAACAGUAGAUCCUGUCUAGGUAUUGAUCCUGUCUAGAUAUUGAUGAAACAGUAGAUCCUGUCUAGGUAUUGAUACUGUCUAGAUAUUGAUGAAACAGUAGAUCCUGUCUAGGUAUUGAUACUGUCUAGAUAUUGAUGAAACAGUAGAUCCUGUCUAGGUAUUGAUGAAACAGUAGAUCCUGUCUAGGUAUUGAUCCUGUCUAGAUAUUGAUGAAACGGUAGAUCCUGUCUAGGUAUU